UACGUAGGGGGCUAGCGUUGUCCGGAAUCAUUGGGCGUAAAGAGCGUGUAGGCGGUCCGGUAAGUCCGCUGUGAAAGUCGGGGGGCUCAACCCUCGAAUGCCGGUGGAUACUGUCGGGCUAGAGUGCGGAAGAGGCGAGUGGAAUUCCUGGUGUAGCGGUGAAAUGCGCAGAUAUCAGGAAGAACACCCGUGGCGAAGGCGGCUCUCUGGGACGGUACUGAC
rnacentral:rRNA from 1 species